UACGUAAGGGGCAAGCGUUGUCCGGAUUCAUUGGGCGUAAAGAGCGUGUAGGCGGCCAGGUAGGUCGGUUGUGAAAACUGGAGGCUCAACCUUCAGAGGUCGACCGAAACCAUCUGGCUAGAGUCCGGGAGAGGAGAGUGGAAUUCCUGGUGUAGCGGUGAAAUGCGCAGAUAUCAGGAAGAACACCCGUGGCGAAAGCGGCUCUCUGGAACGGUACUGACGCUGAGACGCGAAAGCGUGGGGAGCGAACAGG
rnacentral:rRNA from 1 species